ACACCGGCUAGCUCAGUCGGUAGAGCAUGAGACUCUUAAUCUCAGGGUUGUGGGUUCCAGCCCCAUGUUGGGUG
rnacentral:tRNA from 1 species